GACAUGGAAGAGGUGGUAUGCUGUUAGACAAGCUCGUAUCUCUAGUGUUGAAUGCACAUUCAGGUUUGGGAGGCGAGAAUUAAACUCAGGGUUUUCAUCGCUGGCUAACUCAAAAUGCAGGCUGCUGGAACGGCACUGACAAAGGUGAUGAGCAAGGAUGGUAAGAGAGGAUGUUGACCUGAAAGAUAUGGCCAAGAGAGCUUCCAUACAGUAGCAGGACAUUAGCAUGUAAUUGAGGUAACAGCUUCCAAGGGAAGAGGAGAUUUGGGUGUCCAUAUCAGACUGCCCACCACUAACAACUCUUCCCUCCGAAGCCCUGAGUCUGAACUACUAUCCCAGUCAGAUCCAGGCUCUUAAGAGGAGCACGUUGGCUCUACUGACAGCUCAGAACUAGUGGGAUAAAGCUCUGACAGGACUUCCUAAACACCGAGGUGAUCACCAGUCAUCUGAAGCUAAAAACCGGAUUGCCUUUGAAAUUCUUGCACUAAGCCAACAGGUUUCAAGGCACUCCAUGCAAAAGAAACAACCAUCUGUGACUAAUAAAACAUGCUGCAGAUGACUGCAAUCCCAUUGGCAGUUGAUGUACCAGUCACUAACACGUUUGUUUACUAAAAGAGUUGGCACUGAGGUGAUCUGAACAAACAACAAAAAGUCUACCAGUACUUUGGGGAGAAUCUAGGCUUCUAUUUGUUUUGACCAUCUUUGAUAUCUUUGUCACGUUUCCAGUACCUCACAGGGAAGUUUUGUCAUAAGUAAGACCACAAAUAUCCACAAAAGUUUGUAUAUGUGUAGUUGGGGUAGGGUUCCUGUUCAAAAGACUGUUUAAGAUGCAAAAUAUGAUGUAACAAUCAACUAAACUCAUAUGGCAUUCUAUUAUCAAAAGAAUUCUUAGACUGCGAUGGAGACUAAACACCCAAAUCAGUAUGGAAUCAAAUUGUGUUUUUAUAACCAUCAACAAUUUGACCAGAGGCUUUAUGUUUUAGGGCAAUUGGACUGUAAUCAAGCUGGCCAGUAACCUGCUGCAAAAACACACUGUGCAGGAAAGAUAUCAGACAGAUCAGGAAAGAAAUGUCUCGAAAAUGUGCAAAGAUGAAUGUACUUGGAAUAAACAUCCUAGAUUGUGCCAGACAAAGUGUGUACUAAAUGUAUUUAAUAGAAUUUCAAUAUCUUAACCACUAGGAAGAUGUGGCACAAAAGAUAAUUAUAAAAAGCAGACACUUUGGUGCUUUGAGGAACUGGGUGCUGCCUAUCAGAACAGGUGAGAUGAGAACAGGAACAUUAACUGCAGCUUUCACUGUCAGAGAUCUCUUCCUGGAACAGGACUUCACUCUAGGAAUGCAGCCAUUAAGCAAUGGGUUGAAAGUUGAAUGUUGUCAAUUUAUGAGUGAAGUUGAAAAACAGAAAUAUCAACCGUGAAAAGAUUCACCAGGACAUAAGUCCCUUCCGAGACACAGUCUAUAUAAAAACAUAAGAGAAAUUAAAACUGAGUCCAUUUUACAUGAAUAUUGAUUUCAUAUUAUCAAAUUGUAUUACUGUCUUUUCUAUGGCCUAAUGGCUGGAGAUUCCUGUAAGUAAAUAGCACAUCGUUUCACAGCUGCUCAUUAAUCAUAAUAUUAUGACAGAGCACUGGAACAGGUGGUGAUUCCUACCAAAAGCUACAGACUAUGAGUUAGCAAAACUGCUGGUCUGUACCAAACAUCGGUUUGAUUAACUGCACUCCGGGGCCCCCAAGUAAUUCAUCAUUCCAGCCACAGGCUGUAUUCCUAUCAAAGUACCUUAUCAACUGCAGUCACUGCAAAAUUCAUUUCUUAAGAAAUAAGAACAAUCUGAGGUGGUUUUUAUCUGUUCAAAGAUAAAAACAAAAUAUUUGAGGAAGAAAAUACAUCUAACAGACACGACAACAUUUGAGUCUGUUUUAUUUUAUAUGAGGACUCUGCCACAGAAUUGAAAUAGUUACAUACCAUAAUACUCUCCUUGCUAUUAUCACACUUGUUUUAAAUGGAUUUUCUGGAAGCCUUCUCCUCUCCCUUCCUUCAGCCCUAAAAUCCACAUUAAAAUCUAACCUUCAUAUGUCAUCA